rnacentral:rRNA from 1 species
CCUACGGGUGGCAGCAGUCGAGAAUCAUUCACAAUGGGGGAAACCCUGAUGGUGCGACGCCGCGUGGGGGAAUGAAGGUCUUCGGAUUGUAAACCCCUGUCAUGUGGGAGCAAAUUAAAAAGAUAGUACCACAAGAGGAAGAGACGGCUAACUCUGUGCCAGCAGCCGCGGUAAUACAGAGGUCUCAAGCGUUGUUCGGAAUCACUGGGCGUAAGGCGUGCGUAGGCUGUUUCGUAAGGCGUGUGUGAAAGGCGCGGGCUCAACCCGCGGACGGCACAUGAUACUGCGAGACUAGAGUAAUGGAGGGGGAACCGGAAUUCUCGGUGUAGCAGUGAAAUGCGUAGAUAUCGAGAGGAACACUCGUGGCGAAGGCGGGUUCCUGGACAUUAACUGACGCUGAGGCACGAAGGCCAGGGGAGCGAAAGGGAUUAGAUACCCGGGUAGUC